rnacentral:rRNA from 1 species
CAGUAGCCGCGGGAAUACGUAGGUCCCGAGCGUUGUCCGGAUUUAUUGGGCGUAAAGCGAGCGCAGGCGGUUAGAUAAGUCUGAAGUUAAAGGCUGUGGCUUAACCAUAGUACGCUUUGGAAACUGUUUAACUUGAGUGCAAGAGGGGAGAGUGGAAUUCCAUGUGUAGCGGUGAAAUGCGUAGAUAUAGGGAGGAACACCGGUGGCGAAAGCGGCUCUCUGGCUUGUAACUGACGCUGAGGCUCGAAAGCGUGGGGAGCAAACAGGAUUAGAUACCCGUGUAGUCCCUGUCUCUUAUACC